CCUACGGGUGGCAGCAGUAGGGAAUAUUGCUCAAUGGGGGAAACCCUGAAGCAGCAACGCCGCGUGGAGGAUGAAGGUUUUCGGAUUGUAAACUCCUUUUGUUAGAGAGGAUAAUGACGUUAUUUAACAAAUAAGCACCGGCUAAUUCCGUGACAGCAGCCGCGGUAAUACGGAGGGUGCAAGCGUUACUCGGAAUCACUGGGCGUAAAGAGCGCGUAGGCGGGCUAGCAAGUCAGAUGUGAAAUCCUAUGGCUUAACCAUAGAACUGCAUUUGAAACUGUUAGUCUAGAGUAUGGGAGAGGGAGGUGGAAGUCUUGGUGUAGGGGUGAAAUGCGUAGAGAUCAAGAGGAAUACUGAUGGCGAAGGCGACCGGCUAGAACAUAACUGACGCUGAGGCGCGAAAGCGUGGGGAGCAAACAGGAUUAGAUACCCGAGUAGUC
rnacentral:rRNA from 1 species